AAACAAAGAAUACUGCCGGAGAUCUUCUCGCCGAGGAACCACCGUCCCGUCUGUUUGUGGGGUCACAUUUUCUAAUUUGUCAGAGGGAAGUCAGGUGAAGGAAAGGAAGGGCGUGCACAGGGAAGGAAAGGAGGAAGUGAGAGGGAACCGGUAGAGCCGGCUGCCCUGUUUAUGAGCCUGAGGGAGUCUCUGUGCAGCUCUCUGUAGGAAGGUUGUCUCUGUCGAAGCGAGUCGUGAGCAAGGCACUGCCAAGAAGGAAAGGAUAGAGAACAAGAAGAAGAAGAAGAAGAAGAAGAAGCCAUGGCUGUGAAUAAAUGCAUCAAAUACCUCCUCUUCCUCUUCAACCUCCUUUUCUGGCUCAGUGGAUGCCUCAUCCUGGCCGUUCCAUCUACCUGAAAGUACCAAGGCUGGAAACCAGAUCACCACCAACAACGCCGUCCCCGCCGUGGACCUGAUGAUCGCCAUCGGCGUCAUCAUCAUGGUGCUGGGCUUCCUCGGCUGCUGCGGCGCCAUCCGGGAGAACCGCUGCCUCCUGCUGCUGUUCUUCAUCAGCCUCCUCAUCAUCUUCAUCCUCCUGUUGGCGGCCGGCAUCCUGGGAGCCGUGGGGGAGAAUAAGGUGAAUGACUUGGUGAAGGAGAAUCUGUCUAAACUUCUCCCACUGUCAGACCCACCGCCAAUGUGAUAGCAGACGUGGCGGACGGGCAGCGGAG